CUGCUGGCCGCCGUCCUGCUGGGGGCCGGGCCCCGGGCCGGAGCGCCGCGCCCCCGCGUCACCGCCAACUUCGCCUGCAAAGUCAGGGCGGACAGUGCCCUCCCCAGGCCCCGGUGCCACCAGAAGGAGCAGGAUGGAGCAGCCCUGUCCCCGCCAGCCCUAGCUCUGAGCACAGCCCGGCUGUGCCAGGCCUCCCGCGACUGCCAGCCGUGCGUGCACGUGCGCCUGGCCCUGCACACUGCAGGUAGGUGGGCCGGCCUCAUCUGCACCCCGUUUUAGAGUGGGUUCCUGAGACGCUGCUUGG
rnacentral:lncRNA from 1 species